rnacentral:rRNA from 1 species
AUGGCUGGUGAAGCAGCAAUCCAUGGCGCAGCCACAUCUGCACAUGCAUUGCUUCUUCUGUUCCUCGUCCCACUCGUUCUACUUCUCGUCGGUGCGAAAAGAUGGAACCGGAGGAGCAAGCAGCGGCUGAACCUGCCGCUCCCACCUUCCCCUCCGCGCGCGCUCCCGGUGAUCGGGCACCUCCACCAUGUCGGCCCCCUCCCUCACGUCUCCUUCCGCGAACUCGCCAGUAAGCACGGCCGGGACCUCAUGCUCCUCCGCCUCGGCGCGGUGGACACGGUGGUCGUGUCCUCGCCGCGCGCCGCCGCGGCCGUCCUGCGCACGCACGACCACGCGCUCGCGUCCAGGUCGUGCUCCGCCGUCGCCGACAUCAUCUUCUACAAGCGGACCGACGUCGCCUUCGCGCCCUACGGCGAGCCCUGGCGACAGGCCAGGAAGGUGGUCACCACGCACAUGCUCAGCGCCAAGAAGGUGCACUCGUUCCGCCACGACCGCGAGGAGGAGGCGCGCAUAGCCAUGGCUAAGAUCCGUGACGCGGCGGCGACCGCGGGGCCCGCGGCGCCGGUGGACAUGAGCGAGCUCCUGGGCUCGUACGCGAACGACGUGGUGUGCCGGGCGGUGCUCGGGAGAAACCACCGCGACGAUGGCAGGAACAAGCUGCUCCGCGAGCUGAUCGACAUCAACAUGUCGCUCCUGGGAGGGUUCAACGUUGAGGAUUACUUCCCGAGCUUGGCAGUGGCGGACGUGUUCACCGGCAUGGUGGUGUGUCCCAGGGCUAGGAGGGUUCGCAAGAGGUGGGACGAGCUGCUCCACAAGCUCAUCGACGAGCACGGGCGCCAGCGCGAGCAGGACGAUGCCAGCGCAGACUUCAUACACGUGUUGCUCGCCCAGCAGGAAGAGUACGGCCUCACCACGGACAACGUCAAGGCGAUCUUGCUGGACAUGUUUGAGGCGGGGACAGAGACGACAUAUCUGGUGCUGGAAUUCGCGAUGGCAGAGCUGAUGAACAACCCGCACGUCAUGGCCAAACUGCAAGCGGAGGUGAGGAGGAGGCGAGCGCCGGCGGCGGCCGUAGGCAAGGUCGACGAAGGACAAUCACAACAAGACGUGGUAACGGAGGAGGAGCUGGGCGACAUGGCCUACCUGAGGGCCACCGUGAAGGAGACGCUGAGGCUGCACCCGCCGGUGCCGCUGCUCCUCCCCCACCUCUCGAUCGCAGACUGCGAGGUCGACGGCUACGCGAUCCCUGCCGGGACGCGGCUCAUGGUCAACGCGUGGGCCCUCGCGAGGGACCCCGCGUCCUGGGAGGCGCCGGACGAGUUCGCGCCGGAGAGGUUCCUCCAAGGAGGCAGCGCGGCGGCGGUCGACAGCAAGGGGAAGGACUUUGAGUUUCUGCCGUUCGGGUCCGGGCGGAGGAUCUGCCCCGGCAUAAACUUCGCCAACACUGCCGUGGAGAUGAUGCUAGCGAACCUCGUGUACCAUUUCGACUGGGAGCUGCCGGCGGGGACGAAGGGGGUCGACAUGACUGAAGUGUUCAGCUUGUCGAUCCGCCGUAAGGAGAAGCUCCUCCUUGUUCCAACUCCAAGAUCUCGCCGCGAGGAGUGA